UACCAGCUCUCCGAGUGGUAGGGAUGAUUAUUGGGCUUAAAGCGUCCGUAGCCGGCUUAGCAAGUCUCCUGUUAAAUUCAGCGACCUAAUCGUUGAGCCGCGGGAGAUACUACUAGGCUAGGAGGCGGGAGAGGUCAACGGUACUUCCGGGGUAGGGGUGAAAUCCUAUAAUCCCGGGAGGACCACCAGUGGCGAAGGCUGUUGACUAGAACGCGCUCGACGGUGAGGGUCGAAAGCUGGGGGAGCGAACCGGAUUAGAUACCCGGGUAGUCCCAGCUGUAAACGAUGCGAGCUAGGUGUUGGGGUGGCUACGUGCCACUUCAGUGCCGCAGGGAAGCCAUUAAGCUCGCCGCCUGGGGAGUACGGCCGCAAGGCUGAAACUUAAAGGAAUUGGCGGGGGAGCACCACAAGGCGUGAAGCUUGCGGUUC
rnacentral:rRNA from 1 species